rnacentral:misc_RNA from 1 species
GAAACAAGUUCAGUUAUCUGAAGCUGAAAUUAGGUAUCUUUGUCUUGAGUCUAAAGAAAUUUUCUUGAAGCAGCCUAAUCUUCUUGAGCUGGAUGCACCAAUAAAGAUCUGUGGGGAUAUUCAUGGUCAGUAUUCUGAUCUACUGAGGCUAUUCGAAUACGGUGGAUUACCUCCAAGAUCCAAUUACCUAUUCUUAGGCGAUUAUGUGGAUCGUGGGAAGCAGAGUCUGGAAACAAUAUGUCUUAUGUUUGCAUAUAAAAUAAAGUAUCCCGAAAACUUUUUCCUUUUGAGGGGAAAUCAUGAAUGUGC